AUUUCAAAAUUAAAUUCCCAGCAUCCGAACGCAAAGCAUCCAACCAUUACUCACACACCGUAUAACAAAUUCACAGAAUGUGAACAUUAUUAGCAUCAUUGAACCACAAAAGCACAGUUCUCAUCCAUACACAGUUCCCUCACAAACAAGGCAGCACAAGACAUUUUCCAUCUCGCAGUACACACAAGUCGAACAAAACUUUUAAUUACGGUUAAACAAAGCAAGCGCAAGGGUAUCACGAAACUCAUUCAUGAUGUCCGGUUCAUCAGGCACUUCUUCUGUGUCCGGUUGAUCCUCCGAUGCUUCAUCUGGGACAUAAUUUUCAUCACGAUCACAGCAGCAGAAGUGUCUAUCCCGUAUGCCACUAUUCCUAAUGAAAUUAUGCAAUGCACAUGCGGCCUGUAUGAUUUCGCUCUGCUUAUCAGGGGCAUAAGCGCGCGGGGUAGCCGGCGAGGCCGUGACCUAAGGUCCACGAACUCGGCGCCCUCGGGUACUCCGUGGAAGCUGCGGCCGCCGGGAAGCCGGAGCCUCCCAAGGUCCACGAACUCGGCGGCCUCGGGUACGCCGUGUAUGACGCGGCCGACGGGAACCCGGAGCCCACUGCGAAGGGGGCACCUUGGUUCGGAGCGUCGUCGCCUCCAUUGAAAGCCUCGCCAUCGGAGCUGUCCAUGGGGUCCAGCGGGAACCCGAGCGCGUGGAUCUGCACGGGCGGCGCUGGUCUGACGGGGGUGCGAUGCGAUGGUGGGAAGAGGAGCUAGGGGAGGCGGCGGCUAGGGUUGGCGAGGGCGACGGGCGAAUGGAGGCGGGUCAAUCGGAGGAUCUGCGUGGUGGGGGUGAAUCGGACGACGACCGCCGGCGGACGGAGCGAGGGCAAGCAGCGGCGCAAGCGGGUAUGGGAGCGGCGCUCCUGCGUGCCUGGGAAGGGGAUCGAGGGGCGGCGGUCUAGGGUUGGUGUCAGGGGGCGGGUCGGGAUAUGGGUUUUGCGUGCUGUUUAGUUUGACACAAUCCGCACACCGAAAUUUUUUUGGCCCACCCGAAUUUUUUCAGGAACUAAACGCGGCCGAAAGGUGAUCGAUUGUUUGGCGCGCUCCUUGUCAGGCUUUCAUAGGGCAUGCUAGACAAAACAGUUCUACAGAGCCCGGGCUCGCCUUCCCCUCUCCGAUGGAUCGCCCGCGCACAGGCGUAGCACGGGGAUUGGGUUACAUGACCCCGUCUCCAGUACAGCUCAGUCCCGAGCCCUAGUCCCCGGGGCGGCGGCGGCGGCGGCACCAUGGCGGCAGCUGUCAGCUGGUACGGGCCGCUGAUCGACCUCUCGGCGGCCGCCAGCCAUGUCGGCGGAUUCGUGCAGCUGCUGGCGGCCGUCCGCCGCGUCCUUCCCCAUCAGGGACUAAACGCUGCAACCGGGAGGACGUACCAGAAGACCAUCGUUGAAAUCGGCGACGACUCGCGUUCCAGCUUCUGUGUCUCUCUGUGGUCGUCCAAGCAGAGUUCGGGCAUAAUCGCUGGCGAUGUCUUACUAAUGCAGAAUAUUAGGAUAGUGGAGUUUAGAAAUGGCUUGGAGGGAAGAGCUUCUCAGAUAUCCGCAGUACAAGUAUUGUUCAACUCUAAAGACUUGACGAACCCUGAAGGAAUAGGUGAACUAAUAACCAGUUGUAAAGUGGGGGACGCUACAAAAUCAAAGCUAAGAAGAGUGGCAGAAUGGACCAUACGCACUAAACGUGCUCUUGGUGAAAGUCAUCAACAGUUGCAGGUGAUAUCGAAGAACUGGAAAGAAGCAAAAGAGAAGGAAUCACCAGACUUGUUGUGUAUAUCAGAACUAUUCUCUCAGAGAAAAUUAUGUUAUAUGAAUGUUUAUGCAUGUAUCUCCAAGAUGGUUCUAGCGACUUCGCCGACCUCCCACUUGGGGCACCUGUCAGUUAUCGACAAACAUUCUUUGAAAGAGCACAGUGAAAUUGUCAGAGAUUUCAUUACUGCUGGCUGCAAGUUAUGUGGUUCGCCUCUAUAUCACAAAAACCUUCAUGGGGAAAACUCAUCUGCUAUAGAUUGUCCGAAUAACCCAAAGUAUCUCCAUGUUCCUGGUCAGAUAUACAAACCAUUUACGAUAUAUGUCUAUGACCAAUCUGGACAAGUUCCUUUGCUUGUAAGGAAUAAAGCAGCAGAGAUCUUAUUUGCCAAUAUCAUUGCAGAUGAUGUAUCUGAAUGCUACAAGAGCCACAUGCUGUUAGAAACCGUUGAGUCAGGCUGGCAGGACAUCAGUCUUGGAAUCAGCAGGAACAUGAUUCAAUUUGGUUGAAACUGUAUCUGGGCUCUGAGCUGUUUAAUACUAAUGAUGGUGCUGGCUCAAACCCAUUUCACAAAAAGAAAGGGAAACAUGAAGUCAGGAGUUGCAUAGAAGUAAAGAGUGAUGCAGGAUUAUGAUGGUGAAGAUCUGAACCUGGAUCAGAAAGUUUUUUUUUUCAGAAACAGAAAGUAGUUUCUUUCGAUGGUUUAGCAUCUGCAAGAAAAUUCUGAUUUGCAACUCUCUAAAGAAGGUUGCUCUGAUGACAUCGUUGUUACUUCAAUAGCAUCCUGCCCUGAAGUUACCAUUGUUAGCUGUAGCCAGCAGCACUAUUCUUAAACUGAAUAGGCUUCUCCAGCACUGAUUAGCAGGUAGAUUGUGGUCGUUGAAGAAUUUUUUUUAAGCAACUUGAGAUGAAGGUUUGUACUCGACCAAUAAUGGUGAUGAGGCUUGUGCGCACUGUAUUCUUCAUCUUGCUACAGCUUCCUCAGGCCGCUGCACAGGGGCGUGCUUUCUGAUUUGUGGCAACCAUCUACCUGCAUCUGAUAUCCUUCAGAUAUGCAUAUUUCCAUUCGCUCUUUUCCCUUUCUUCCCGUUGACUUUCAACCUCAACCGCAUCGGAAUUGAAUUCUGUUUUGUUUUAGCACUGAAGCAAACCAAAAAAAAAAAACUAUGAUCCGAUAAUGGCAGUGGCACGUACAAUUACAUUCA